rnacentral:lncRNA from 1 species
GCUUGAAAUUCUGAUACUCCCCAACCCAUGGCAACUUCGAAACUCUAAGACUUCAAGGGCCUGGAUUUGAAAUGUCAGCGCCUGGUGCCAAAAGUUAGCUGUGUCACCUGCCCCACUGAGUUUCAACUCCUUCAGUGCAUUGCAAGUAGCCAGGUUAAUACUUCUGGGCCAGUUUCCCAAGGAUGGUGCAAACGAAAAAGUAUGAAGAUCAGACACAUCCAUCUGAACAUUAUCAAUCCCAUCACAGUACAGGAACUCAAAAUACUUCAAGUGAGAUAAACUUGAAACUGAGAGAAGUGUGUCCAUCCAUUUACAAAAUGACACUUUCACAUACUCUAUCACGGGACACCCAGAGAGAAUUUGGUGAAAUAAAAACUUGUCAGUGAAACAAGAAUGAGAUAAAGAAAGCUUCUGUAGAUGUGGAAGUUUGAUAUCCAAUCCACUCUCAAAUCUACAGCCACAUAAGCUUAAAACUUUUAGCGAGCUAGCAAGCAAAACCGAUUGCGGAACGCUAUAAAAAUAUCUAUCUGAGCCCGACAAACUAUCAAUACAAACAGCAAGUUCUGGAGCAGUCCUGUCUACUGCUAUACCAAUCCAUUGGUCCAUAUUAGGCGUCAACAACUCCAUAUCAGGGAAGUCAAUAUACAAUUGAAAUCUUUGUACGCAAAAAUCUAGUUGCAAGCGCCGACAGAUGGAAUUUCCAGCAAGAAUCAAGAAAUCAUGUUUUCGCCUUUUUAUAUGCACGUCACGAAGAAAUUGCUGUUGUUCUGUGACUGAAUUAUCAUAGAAAAAGUGGAAUACAAGAUAAGGAUAAGUGGACCAGGUGCGAUUCCAAGUCUUUGACAAUAUUGCAGUAGAGGUAACAUCUCUGGCACGCAGAUAAGAUAAAAUGUGAUGAAUCACGGAAUCAGGCAACCGUGAGAUGAAGUCCAAAGGGGCAAUCUCCAAACCAGAUCUCUCCUGUUCACGUUCCUCUAUUAUUAACCAACAAAAGCGUACAUUGACCAGUUAGAACUCAAAUUUCAUCAUUCACUCAUUUACAAACUAAUUCCAACUCAAAUAUGCUUGAUAAUCAAAACAGAACUAAUUAGAACUCAAACGUUCAUCAUUCAUUCAUAAUUGUACACUAGUAUGAACUUAAACGUGCUGGAUUAUCAAAGCUAUGCGCUAAUUUGAAACUCAAACAGUUCCUUAUUUAUUGACGAUCAUACACAAAUUCGAACUCCAACGUGCUGAUUCACUACAAUUAUAUGCUAAUCAAAAUCAAAAGUCUUCAUCCAUUCAUGAUUAUAAAGUAAUCAGACUAAAUGGUGUAGGAUUAUUACAAUUAAGCAAAUGAAGCAUUUACAGAAAGAAAGUUUACAAAGAGUACCUGAUUCCAUGAAGGGCAAGCCGGCAAAGACUUUGAAUCCCGAAGGCGAACCUGAUUAUAUCAGUAAAUGUUAUAAAGUUAGCGAGGAAAUCAAUUUAAAUUAAGCAGGCCAUAAGAAGAUUGCAAAUUCCAGCUGACUUUGUGAAUUAAAAGGUUGAGCAGAAAAUAAAGCAUGAUCAAAAGGAUAACCAAAAGUACCUGAAAAUAAUUAAUAGCCUCUGUAAUUUAGCCCCAAUUCCCGGAACAUGUAGACGACGGCAGCGAGAGAAUAGAGAUACUAGAUAGCGUGAAACUGUGAAUAUACGCAGUUAAGUAGUAGGCUACUAGUUUCUUUCAUUAGUUUUCCUUAACAAAAUAUUUUUGGCUCUGUUUGGAUUUACUAUUUUGGGAAUAUUUUUGAAAUAUUUUACUACAACAGUGUAUAUAAAAAAUUGUUAUGAUAAAUUUUUUUUGUAAUGUUUUCGAGGGAGUUUUGAAAUAUAUUCUAAGGUACCUUUUAAAAUUAAAAUAUUUUUAAGGUGUCUUUUAAAAAUUAAUACUAUCACUCACAAUCACCAACACCACCUCCACCCACCAUUGCCACUACCCACUCCUUCCUCCUUUCUCCUUUCUCUUCUCUUUCCCUCUUCCCCCUUCCCUCCCUCCCUCAAUCUAGCCGUGGCCAAAGGCUGCGAUCUGGUCGCAGCCCGAAACCUAUGUUUUUCCGAACCGAACCAGGGUAUCGAUUCGGUCAAACUCAGGGGUCAGGGAUCAGUGGAUUCAAUCGGGUUCGAUAGGGGUUGAACCGGAUGACGUCAUAAAUAAAAAUUAUUUAAAAAUUAAAAUAUUAUAUGUAAAAUACGUAAUAACAUGUUAAUAUUAAUAAAGGUAUAUUCAUAUAUAUUUAAUCUUUUAAAUAUAUUUAAUAAGAAAAUACAAACAAAUUAGAACAAUCAAGUAACAAAUUAUAUUAUUUAAUGCGCAUUAACAAGUUUAGAAUUAGAAUUAUGGACUUUAAUUGAAAAAUAAUACCAAACUUUAAGAAAAUAUUGAUAAAGUAUGAAAUAUUUGAGAUAUAUUAAUAAUUUUUAACAAUCUAGGGGUCAAAACAUAAUAUUGAAAAAGUUUUAAUUUUUUUUUAAAUGCUAAUUGAACCGGAAAAUCCGGUUUCUUUCCUGUCAAACCCGAUUUUUUACCGGAUUUGACCGGGUUUUUACUUACCUGGUUUUUAAGCAUAACUCGGACCGGACACUUGGCCGGUUCCCAGUUCGAUCUGUCGAACCGACCAGUCCGGUCCGAGUUUUAAAACACAGGCACUCGCAACCAGACGCCUUAAUCUGGUCUCGAGAAAUUGAGGGAGGAAGAAAUGGGAGGGGGGUGCCGGGAAAGGAGAGGGGAAAAGGAAGUGGGAAGGGGGAAGGGGAGGAGGAAGGGGGAAGGGGAGAAGGAAGGGGGGGGAGAGGAAUAGGGAUAGUGGUGGUGGGCAGGGAUGGUGGCGAUGGUAGGUAGUGGUGAUGGGUGGAAAAUGUUAUAUAAUUUAUUUUUUAAAAUUUUGUGUGUAUAUUUGUGAGUUAUUUUUGAUAUAUUAUAUGGAUGAAAUGUUUUUGAAUUAUUUUUAUUUGUAUAUUAUUCUGGCAUUAUAUUUAAUAACCUCUUUUGAAAAAUAGAUUUUUGGAUUUUUAGUAGAAAAGAUAUACUAUAUUAAUUUGAUGUAUGUGAGAUAAAAAUAAGUAUUUGAAAAAUAUGAUCAUGAAAAAUAUUAAAAAAAAAUUCUGCAGAAAAACUUCAAGGAAUUUCUGUAAAAAAAGAAAUCCAAAAUCCUGUUUUUAGAAAAGGAAAAAGUGAAAGGAGUUGUACGAAAGCCAAAAGGCAAUUAAAUUGAUAACUUCUUUGCAUAUGAAUAUAUGAUGUUAAGUAUUUUAUUUACUCACAAAAACUAUAAUUUUGGUUUAAGAGAAGCAAUACCUAAUAAAAUUGUAAAAUGAGAACGGUAACAAAGAUUAUUAACUUUGGAAGUAUUGUAUACUAAAGAACUUUAUAUAUAAAGUGGGAAUGGUACUUCAAUUGUUUGCUGGUCUUUCGUCCUUCUCAUGUGGAACUCAUGUGGCCCGUGUGCUGGAAAUGACAUCUUAAGUGGGUUGCUGUCUUUUGCUCCUUCGUCAUCAUCAUGCCCCUGCACAGCCCAUCUUCUAAUCCCUCUGCUAUACAAAAUAAGCAGCCGCCUUGCCCGUUCUUUCUAUUGGUCGGUGGAUUCACCUCUCACCCUACACAAUCUGCAAUUCAUUAAAUGUUGGCGUCUCCAUGCAAGAUUUGCACAUCUUUAAACAUGCUUUCCCGGGUUUUCAUGCACCGAAUAGAAGACAGGUAAUCAUGUAAAUUUCUUUCCCUUGCAUUUCAGCUUGCAUUUCUUGUUUUGCUUCAUUUUAUGUAUUGCUUCCGCUUCUUCUUCCUCGAGCUUUUCCUUCCCUCCGUUUCGUUGUGCGUCUUUCUUCAUUCACUGUUAUUAGUGUUUUCUGUUGUCUGCUAUUACAUCUAUUGUAAAUGAUGCUCUAUUUUCCCUCCCCCUGUUCUUGUAAUAGUAUUUAUAUUUUUUCCCCUUCCAUUAUUUUGUUUUUCAUAUUCUUCUACUUCCCAUGCUUACUGCUUUUUUUUUACCUGUCACUAUUAUUAAUAUUCCUUUUGCAUUUUUUUUGUUUUAUGAUUCUCUUUGUUCUAUCAUUUUUUAUUCUCAUUGCAUUGUUGUCUCUUAUUGUUUGAAGUUCGAUUUUUCACUUUCCUUUUGCCCAAUUUUUUUGUUGCCUCUAUUUUUUUUUUCAGCUUUCCUGCUGAAACAUUGCUUUUGCUUUUGUUAGAGACUCUUUUCUCCUAUUUUUUCUCCCGCGCUUGUAUGCUUCGUGUGCUUUCUUGGUCAUAUUCAUUUAUUUACUGCUACUGUUUCUACGCUUUGCAGUUUAGUGGCAUUUAUUAAUAUUCUUUAUUUUUUGUAUUUGUUCCUAUCUGACAAUGACAUUUUCCUAUUAUCCAUUUUUGCAUGGCCCUCUUAAUUUCCUCCAAGUUUUGGCUGUUUUGCUGACUACGAGCUGCUGCUUAUUUUUCUUGCUGCGGCAAAAGGUACUUGCUUUUUUUUUUAUUGGAAUUGAAGCAUUAUCUUUAAUAGUUCAUUCAUCUUUGUUCUUCUCCUUUGAUCAAACGCUUAUUAGCUACUUUUUUUCUCCAUUUUUCGUAUAUUAUCCUAAAAAGUUUGUUUUCUCAUGCUUAAACACUUAAAAAAAUAACCAUAUUUCUUGUUUUAUUUCUCACCUUCAUAGUUCGUACACUUAACUUUUUUGUGUAUGAAAUACAGAACAAAGAAUGUUGUGCCAGAAAGUAGCAUCAUCAAUGAAACCGAAUUUCAUUCAAGACAUCUCUGAUGGGCUAUCAUUCUAUGACAUCUUUACUCAGCAAAACCAGCAUAAUUUUGUGAGCUCUGGCUAUAUCCUGUUUUAUUUUAUCAUUCAUUAUUUUCUUUCCCACUAAUAAUUUUUUUUUGUCGAUGAACAACAGAAAGUGCCCAAGUUUGUAUCCUUCUUCAUGCAUGGUGACAAAACUACUCUGAUCACGCUGAGAACUGGAAACAAAACAGUCACUCUUGGAAUGCGUCAGAGAUAGUUUACAAAUAAUUGGAACACAUUUAAGUUUGAGCAUCAACUACAAUUUGACGACGCUUUAGUAUUUAUCCCUAAAUCAAAGUCCUGCUAUACUGUCCUAAUCUUCAACAAACAUGGAGUCGAAAAACUAUUCCCUUGGUACAAUAAGUUCUACAUCUUCUCUGAUGCACCAACCGGUAGAACUUAGACCUUUCUUUUAAAUUUAUUCUGCAAGAAACGUUGUUCUUCUUAUAUGUUCAAUAAACAUAUGAAUGCCAGAUUUUAUUGUCCAUUCUUUUUCCAUAUCAAUUUAACUUAGCAAUUUAUCGACAACAUGCUGCAGAAUUAUUUUCAACCAUUCAGGACCGUGCUUGAUUUUUUGUAAAAAGCUUUGAAUAAAUCUACAACUUCAACUUUCAACGCUUCAUUAUUCUCAUAUAAUAUGCAAUUUUACGAUGCUUCUUGAAAAAACCAAAAUAACAUCUUAUCUUUAAACUUAUACCUUUUAUUAAGAACGGUAUACUUAAUAUGACUAUGAUACAAUUCAAAUAUAUUGUAGCAUAAACCAAGAAAGCUAUCAAACAAAAAAAUGCGUUAAUAAAAAAAUUAAGUUAAGCUGUUCCAAUAGAUGCUCACAAUUACAUGACACACACCAAAACAUGAAAUACAUUAAAAUCAACAAGUGUGUGUAUAAAAAGUCCUUCCAUACAUGUUGACCAAAUUGGUAACUGAUAGUGUGAGGAGUCGAGCCUAUGUAAUUUCGUGACUUUGAAACGUGACCUUUAUUACUGUGACAUCAUAUCCAAACUCAAAAAAGUUUUCACCCGUAAAAAGCCAAAUAAUAUGUAAAUAUAUGAAUUGUAAUAAAUGUUCUUUAAUUCUAUUAAUUACACCAAAUUAUUUUGCCUACAAAUGUUCUCCAUAUCGUUAGUUUAUAAUUGCAAUCCGCCGGUUACCAAAUUUCAUUGUGGGCAUUACAUAAAUUCUUCACCGUGCGCAAGCACGGUAUAUUUCUGCUAGUAGUCUAAAGUACUCGUUUGAUAGACUAGAGCAAUUUGGCGCUUCAUUGGCACGCUUCAAAUGCACACUAUCAAUCAGGUAUCCGGACGCUUGGGCCUUGGCUAUGCAACUUGAACAAUCAUCACAUGUAGAACUGACUUUAUUCUAGUAUUUUAUAGGAAAAUAUGUACUCAAUUAGCUUGAAGUGAAUUAAAUCAUGAUUGUCAGCAUUUUAAACUUUUGAUUGUGAAGGCCUUAAUUGUUUGACAACUCCCAUGAUUAUUUUGGCUAAACUACUCAAGUUGCCUCGUUAUACUUAAAAAAAAAAAUCUCAAUUCAAUCUUUAACACUAAGAAGUGACUUGAUUUAAUCCCUUGGAAAUAACUCAUGUCAUUUUUAUGUUGAAUUAGUAGUCAAAAGAUUUAAUCGUGCAUUUCCAAUAUAACGGGGUCUAUGUGUUAUAUCAACGAUACAUUGUUGAUGAUCAGACUAUAUGAAUUCCAAUUCUUUCAGCAAAGGUGAUAUCCAAACAACAAAAUUUCUUCAAAGACAUCUAAUAAAGAGAUUACCAAGUACCCAUGUUAUUGUUUAAGCAAUAUUAGUAAGUAUGUUUUCAUAAACAGCAUUUUAUUUGGGUUGAAAUCAAAUCAACACCUAUAUGCAUUUCAUAAACAGCGUUCUAUGACGGAUGAAUGAGGAUGUAGGGAGAGGGACAAAACGGAGGAGGUGGAGGUGGGCUGAGUUUCUUCUGUUGAGAAGAGUCAAGUCUCUUGAAAACUGAAGCAGAUACCGCUUGAGGUGAAAAAGGACUGAGGGUGAAGGAGAAGAGGAAGAAGAGGAUGAUGAAGAUGUUAACGGAAGGAAAUGGGCUUGGAGCUUUUCGAGCCAUGUAAAUGUUUGUGGUUUUUGCCGCAGCAGACAACAAACAAAGAAGAGAAGUGAUGAGAAGUUUGGGAGAUGAGCAUGGGUUUAUAUACACGUACGUCGAUCUGCAUGCAGGGCAUCAGUAGCGUGUUACUAUUAUUAUUAAAGGUACGUCCAUAUCAAUUUAAUUUCCAUAGAAAAGUAAAAGUUUGGUACCUUAUCAUACAAAAAAGAGAGUACAUACACAAUUAAUCACCAGUCCUUCAAAUCAAGAUAUGUUCAAUGUGUAAGUGAGAAUGUACAACUGAUAUUCCUAGUCUACGAGUGUCGUUACCGUAUGAAAGAAACGGAAAAAACAAGAAGAUUUUAACAACCGCCCUCCCCCAGCAGAUCGACUGGUUUCCGUAGUCCCCUUAUAAGGGGCAGGUCACUGGUUCGACCCCGGGGAGCUAACACGCUGUGAACCUUGGGACGGGGCUCUCACAGCCGCAGGGGAUUAAUCGGGCCCAAUGGUUCCAGACACCCUUUUGUGUCGGAAAAAAAAAAAAAGACAUGAAGCAUUAUGCAUCCAUGCCAUUGGAUAUAUAGUAGGCUUGAUGUUAUACAAUGCAAAUUUUCUUAAAAAAGAAAAACUUUAAAUCAAAAUAAAUCUUAACCUAUCAAUUAUUGAUUUAAGCUAUCAAAACAUUGGCAUGUAACAUGCAAAUAAUCGUUGCUUAUAGGGCAUCAUUCCUUUCCGUCUCACACGCAGAUUAGUCCAUUGGUGGUUCUUUCUAUCUUUUUUUUUUUUUGAAUAUUUGGUUCAUAGAGGUUCCAACUUUUACAAGGAGAAGGAAAAAUAGGAGAGUUUAAGGGUCAAGACCUUACGGUCAGUCACCUAAAAGCAUCCGUGCCAAUUGAGUUGAGUUUUGGAAACAAAAUCUUGGCCUUUCCACUAUAGUAGGAUAUAACUAAAUGCCCGGAUUAACUCAGUUUCCAUAAAUUAAAAAAAAAAAAGAGUAAGAAAUUGGUACCUCUGAUCAAUUCCAAGGGUAGAUAUAUAAUAUAAUUAUUAGUCCUUCAAAUGUAGACGAGUGUAAGUAGACUUAAAAGGAGUCCAUGAUAUUGAUAGUUGAUCUUUUGGUCACAAUAAUUAUUUCGAGAUGUUUGAUUCUUCGUAAUGUGGAAUAACUUUCCUCCAGACAUUCUAAAGAAACAUGAUGGACCAAGUUGCUGUUUGUGAGGUCGGAUCGUCUCUUGCGCAAGGAUUUUUGGGUAAUGAAUUGAUCUUUCAAGAAAAACACUAUUUACAAAAACAAAUGUUUGUAUGUUUUUCUUCAUUUAUGUUCAAUUCAAUUCUCUAUAAUAUAUAUUAGUAGUAUUUGUUUAGAGGGAGCACCUUCAUGCAUGGACUAACUUGGAUCUCUAGAGGUUCUCCUUCACAUUUGACGUGCAGAUUACGCCAUUAGGCAAUUCGGGCGACUGAGCGGUCAACACAAGGCAACAUCAAAACAGCUACGCAUUUGGCCCACCAGUAGUACUAGGCAACCAAUCAGACUACUCCGGUCUUGAUUUAUUUUCUUCAGUUUCCAUUUCAUCUACUUCUCCACUACUGAUCCUCUAGAGAAAGCUCAGUCGUUAAAUUUUCUAGUCUGUUCAAAUGUCUAACAUCAAAAUUUAAAUUUAAAUCAAAACAUUAAAGUGAGAACAAAGUGUCAUCUUGGGAAUAAAAAGGUACUUGGAUUUCUUCUUUGCAAUAAAAUGGAUAACUUCUUUGCAUAUGAAUAUAUGAUGUUAAGUACUUUAUUUACUCAUAAAACCCAUAUUUUGGUUUAAGAAAAGCAAUACCUAAUGAAAUGGUAAAAUGAGAACGGUAACAAAGAUUAUAGUCUAAAGUACUCGUUUGAUAGGCUAGUGCAAUUUGGCGUUUCACUUGUACGCUUCAAAUGCACAUUAUCAAUCAGGUAUCCGGACGCUUGGCUAUGCAACUUGAACAAUCAUUACAUGUAGAACUGACUUUAUUCUAGUAUUCUAUAGGAAAAUAUGUACUCAAUUAGCCUGAAGUGAAUUAAAUCAUGAUUGUCAGCAUUUUAAACUUUUGAUUGUGAAGGCCUUAAUUGUUUGACAACUCCCAUGAUUAUUUUGGCUAAACCAGUCAAGUUGCCUCGUUAUACUUCCAAAAAAAAAAAAAUCUCAAUUCAAUCUUUAACACUAAGAAGUGACUUGAUUUAAUCCGGCCCUUGGAAAUAACUCAAGUAAUUUUUACGUUGAAUUAGCAGCCAAAAGAUUUAAUCGUGUAUUUCCAAUAUAACGGGGUCUAUGUGUUAUAUUAACGAUAUAUUGUUGUCAUCAUCAGAUCAGACUAUAUGUUAAGUUUUUGAAUUCCAACUCUUUCAGCAAAGGUGAUAUCCAAGCAACAAAAUUUCUUCAAAGACGUCUAAUAAAGAGAUUACCAAGUACCCAUGUUAUUGUUUAAGCACUAUUAGAAGUACGUUUUCAUAAACAGCAUUUUAUUUGGGUUGAAAUCAAAUCAACACCUAUAUGCUUUUUAACAUUUAUUUGGGCUGAAACCAAACAUCUUGUUGGCAAGGUCGUAAGUAACCCGAAACCCCUGCUGCUGCGUGUUGCCGAUUAUUGAGACACUUUGAGAAGUGGUCUUAAAAGCCAAACAGAACGUGCCGUCGGAAUCAGCACGAAACAGGUAAUUUUGAGGUUUCAGCGGCAGCGUCUUGCCCCCGGAGAACUGAAACGACAUCAUUGGGAAGCCAUCUCUGGUGGGCGUAGAGGAUAGAUCAUAACAAGUGUCGAGAUCACCGAUUCCAGCGGCGGGAGGCAAGUUUUUAGCGUACUUAACAAAGGUGUCGCGGACCGAGUUAUAUACCUGAGCUGGCAACGCCGUGAUGGUGGUACCCGAGUCGACGAUGAUUCCCCCACGCCCAUCUUCGCCUAUUUGAUAAUCCGAUGCAGGAAUGGGCACUUGUUCUCCAUUAAUAGUGAUCCCCGUGAGUUCCACGUAGUAAUAAAUCUCAGAUUUUGGGUUCAUAAUCAAGGGAACGAGGAUUGAGUCACCGGGUGGAACUGAGUUAAACUCGAGAGUCGAGGACGAGCUGGAGUCCAAAUCCACGAGGCAGUAGGAGAAAGACUUCGCCUGAAUUUGAGAAGGAAAGCCUACUGCAGUGCCCCCAAGGCCAAGUAUGCCAGCUGCCUUGCCAAAUCGGCCUUGAUUCUCAAGCCCGCACCCGAUAGCCACUUUCUGAACUGAACCCGAACUCCCGAACGACACCGUUUCAGUGGCAAAUUCUCCAAUACUGACGGAAUUAUCCCCGUACAACGCUCUGUAGAUGCAAGUGUUGUUUUGGCCGCACUUGUAAUCCGGGCUCAAGGCGGUGCACUGCUGCGAUGUGCAGGAUAAAGGGCUGUAAGAUGAGGAUCCGGAUGGGUCGAAGAUCGGGUCGGAUUGGUUAAAGCAUGGAUCGCAGGGCAGGCAUUGGAGCCAGUUGAUUUGGCUACCCGUAUCCGCUAUCAGGUAGUAUUCUUUCACGGGUUGGCCCACUCCGACGCGAGCUGCGUACGCUCCGCCAGAUGGAGUCAGGGGAGCUUCGAGGUCCUCCGGUUGGACUUGGACGUCGGGUUUGAUGCCAUGAGGGCGGUUGAAGGCGGAGAGAGCCCGCUCAAUGUUGGAGUUGAUGACCUCGGCUCGGGCCCGGUCACUUGCGAGCCGGGAGAGAACGAGGUCGGAGUAGCUGUCGUAUGGCGGCUUUAUGACGGAUGAAUGCGGAUGCAGGGAGAGGGACAAAACGGAGGAGGUGGAGGUGGGCUGAGUUUCUUCUGUUGACAAGAGUCGAAGUCUCUUGAAAACUGAAGCAGACACCACUUGAGGUGAAAAAGGACUGAGGGUGAAGGAGAAGAAGAAGAAGAGGAUGAUGAAGAUGUUAAUGGACGGAAAUGGGCUUGGAGCUUUUCGAGCCAUGUAAAUGUUUGUGGUUUUUGUCGCAGCAGACAACAAACAAAGAAGACAAGUGAUGAGAAGUUUGGGAGAUGAGCUUGGGUUUAUAUACACUUACACGUACGUCGAUCUGCAUGCAGGGCAUCAGUAGCGUAUUACUAUUAUUUAUUGAAGGUACAUAUCACAAAGAUCCAUAUCAAUUUAAAUUCCAUAGAAAAGUAAAAGUUUGGUACCAUAACAUACAAGAAAGAGAGUACAUACACAAUUAAUCACCAGUCCUUCAAAUCAAGAUAUGUUCAAUGUGUAAGUGAGAAUGUACAACUGAGAAUGUUCAAUUUUCGACUACGAGCGUCGUUACCGUAUGAAAGAAAGGGAAAGAACGAGAAGAUUUUAACAACCUUUAAUAGGCUUCUUAGUGGAAAUUUUGAGUCCUGGGAGGGAAGACUUUUUAGAGUCUUGCAGGCGUCCGCCACAUCGCGAUAGUUGGUCUUUCUGAUACAGGCAUAUAAAAAAGGAAUCAAAUUGGAAUUUACGGUGGAAACAAGGUAGAUGCGCCAACGGCAGCUGGUGUUUCAUUUUCAUGAUACAGACUGGGGAAAUUUUGGAGCAUCCAUGCCAUUGGAUAUAUAGCUAUGUUUUCAGAACCGGACCGGAUAGCGACUCGGCCAAGGUCAGGGGUCAGGGGUCAAUGGGUUCGACCGGGGGUCGAUAGGGGUCGAACCGGAUGACGUCAUAAAUAAAAAUUAUUUAAAAAUUAAAAUAUUAUAUAUAUCAUAUCUAAUAAUAUAUUGAUAUUAAUAAAGGUAUAUUCAUACAUAUUUGAUGUUUCAAAAAGAUUUAACAAGAAAAUACAAAGAAAUUAGAACAAUCAAGUAGCAAUUUAUAUUAUUUAAUAAAUAUUAACAAGUUUAGAAUUAAAAUUAUGAAUUUAAUUGAAAAAUAACAUCAAAUUGUAGGACAAUAUUUAUAAAGUAUCAAAUAUUUGAGGUAUACGAAUAAGUUUUAACAAUUUAGGGGGCCAAAACAUAAUAUUAUAAAGUUUGAAUUUUUUUUUUAAAAAAUUACUGUUGAACCGGAAAAACCGGGUUUUUCCCGGUCAAACCCGGUCAAACCCGGAUUUUGACCGGCUUUGACCGAGUUUUAAAAUUUCCGGUUUUCUAAGUUGACUCGGACCGGCUACCUGGCCGGUUCCCGGUUCGACCGGUUCGACCGGCCGGUCCGGUCCGAGUUUGAAAACAGAGAUAUAUAGUAGGCUUGAUGUUAUACAAUGCAAAUUUUAAAAAAAAAAAAAAACUUUAAAUCAAAAUAAAUCUUGACCUAUCAAUUAUUGAUUUAAGCUAUCCAAACACUGGCAUGUAACAUGCAAAUAAUCGUUACUCAUAGGGCAUCAUUCCUUUCCAUCUCACACGCAGAUUUGGCCAUUCAUAAAUUCCUAUAUUGAUCAUCUGCUUGACCUUUGGAGAGGGUCUUCAAAAAAAAAAAAAAAAGGACCUUUUGAGAGGAAAGACUUGAAGGAGAGAAGACUUCGAUAGUUGCCGAGUCGGUCUUCUCGAACGUGGUUCGCGAUGUUUGAUUCUUUGUAGUGAGGAAUAUAUUUUUCUCCAGACAAAGGCUGUCAAGGUAGAGGGGCCAGCAAUGACUGUAAUUUCGUUUGCAUCAUAUACGGCUUGACUGCUGCGGUAAAUCGCCUAGUUUAUAAACACAAUCAUGGUUAACAAGAAAAAAAAAAAUCCAACAGAAAAUCGCAAUCUACCAACAAAAGGAAGAAACUUAGAGAUAUUACUUUACUGCAUCUAUCUUUUUCUUCUUCUUCUUCUUCUUUUUUCUCUUUUUUAUUACGGUAGGAAAGUUUGGUCUUCCUUGGUUCUUUCUUUCAUUUUUUUUUUUUUUGAAUAUUUGGUUCAUAGAGGUUCCAACUUUUACAAGGAGAAGGAAAAAUAAGAGAGUUUUAAGGGUCAAGACCUUACGGUCGGUCACCUAAAAGCAUCGGUGCCAAUUGAGCUGAGUUUUGGAAACAAAAUUUUGGCCUUUCCAUUAUAGUGGGAUAUAACUAAAUGCCCGGAUUAACUCAAUUUCCAUAAAUUAAAAAAAAUUAAGAAAUUGGUACCUUUGAAUUCCAAGGGUAGAUAUAUAAUUACUAGUACUCCUUCAAAUGUAGACGAGUGUAAAUAGACUUAAAAGGAGUCCAUGAUAUUGAUAGUCCAUGAUAUAAUUACUAGUUGGUCUUUUGGUCACAAUAAUUAUUUCGAUAUGUUUGAUUCUUCGUAAUGCGGAAUAACUUUCCUCCAGACAUUCUAAAGACACGUACUGAAACUGAUGGACCAAGUUGCUGUUUGUGAGGUGCCAUUAAUCCGGGUGGGAACGUCUCUUGUGCAAGGAUUUCUGGACUAGACCUUCCAACUUGCGCUUGCCGCAAAGAUGUUUUGGGUAAUGAAUUGAUUUUUCAAGAAAAACACCCUGCAAACGUAAUUAAUUGCACUUUCAUUUGCCAAAAUUUUUUUAGUCCCUGCAAACGGGAUGCUGGUGAGUUUGGAUUGUAAAUUAUUUGAAAUAAUUUUAUGAAAAAAGUAUUGUAGCACUUUUUUGAUAUGAUGCAUGUGAUUGAAAGAUGUAUUAAUGAUGCAAAUCAUUCAGUAUGUGUAAAUAAGUUAUAAAUAAAGUGUAAUUAUUUACAAUCCAAACACACUCCUUAAUCUUAAUUUAUAGGAGUACUAUUUUUUAUGUUUUUUCUUCAUUUAUGUUCACUAAAGAAAAGAAAAAUGAAAUACAAUGACCAAAAUCAAUUCAAUUCUCUAUAACCUAUAUUAGUACCUUUUUUUUUUUUUUGGAGGGAGCACCUUCAUGCAUGGACUAACUUGGAUCUCUAGAGGUUCUCCUUCACAUUUGACGUGCAUAGUGCGCCAUUAGGCAUUGGGGCGACUAAGCGGUCAACACAAGGCAACAUCAAAACAGUUGCGCAUUUGGCCCACCAGUAGUACUAGGCAACCAAUCAGACUACUCCGGUCUUGAUUUAUUUUCUUCAGUUUCCAUUUCAUCUACUUCUCCACUGAACCUCUAGAGAAAGCUCAGUCGUUAAAUUUUCUUGUCUGUUCAAAUGUCUAACAUCAAAAUUAGAAUUUUAAUCAAAACCUUAAAGUGGAAACAAAGUGUCAUCUUUUGUUUUUCAAAAAAACAAAAUAAACUAAUGACAGUAAAUACAUCAAAACGUAAAACAGAUCUAAUAGAUGGGAGAAAUUUCCUCCUAAUUUGAAACUCCAAAAAUGUGAUUCUCGACUAGAUUAAUGCAAGUCUUAUAAAUUGAUUACAUUUUCAAUCAAUUCAAUUUCAGGGUAAACAUGCAAUAUGCCCAAGUAUAGCCCUGCCCUGGUUUUCACGGUACAACCACUUCUUCAUUCAAAGAAGUCAUUAGCAUACUAUAGAAAGAAAAGGACCCUAAAGAAUAAGAAUCACAAAAGUUAGUUUGGUUAAGAAAACCAAAUACUUUAGAGCAAAGGUAGACGAUGAGAUCCUCAAAAUAUCAUAACUAUGAAAACAUUUAGCAUAUAUUUAUAUAUAUGAAGAACAACAUUUAUUUAGGUUGAAAUCAACUGUAUAUAUUCUAGUAGUAGCACUGGAGGGAGGGAGUGCUCUAACAUUGAUUCGGACUAAAACCAAUCAUCUUAUUGGCAAGGUCGUAAUUAACCCUCAUCCCUUGCUGCUGUAUAUUCCCAAGUAUUGAGACAGAUUGCGUAGUGACAGUAAAAGCCAAACAAUUCUUGGCACUAUCACCAACACGAAACCAGUAAUUUGCAGGCCUCAACGGCAGCGUUUUGCCCCCAGAGAAAUCAAGCGACAUCGUUGGAUAGCCAUCUGUGGGGUUUGACGAUAGAUCAUAGCAAGUGUCAAAUUUAACUAGACCACCAUCGUAGCCGCUCGUGCGAGUCAAGGCUUUAGCGUACUUAACAAACGUAUCACGGACCGAGUUAUAAACCUCAUCUGGCAACGCCGUUAUGGUGGUGCCCGAGUCAACUACAAUUCCCCCACUUCCAUCUUGGCCUAUUUGGUAAGCUGAUGCGGGAAUGGGUACUUGUUCUCCAUUAAUGGUAAUCCCCGUGAGCUCCACGUAGUAAAAAACCUCAAUUCUUCGAUUGAUUAUCAAGGGAACGAGGACUGAGUCACCAGGUGGAGCUGAGUUAAACUCAAGAGUCGAGGACUUGCCCGAGUCUCUAUCCACGAGACAGUAGGAGAAGGACGUCGCUUGAAUUUGAGAAGGAAAGCUUACAGGAGUGCCCCCAAGACCAAGUAUCCCAGACGCCCCCCCGCGUUGAUUAUGGCCGCACCCGAUGGCUACUUUAUCAACCGAACCUGAACUUCCAAACGACACCGUUUCAGUGGCGAAUUCUCCCUCAACAGUGGAUCUAUCUCCGUAGCUCGUUAUAAACAUACACGGGUCAGCUUGGCAAUUUCGGUUUUCGCCCAGUGAGGCACAUUCCUGGGAUGCACAGGAUAAAAGACUGUAAGAUGAAGACCCAGAUGGGUCAAAGACCGAACCGGACACGCUAGAACAUCCAUCGCAGGGUAGGCAUUGGAGCCAGUUGAUUUCGCUACCCGUAUCCGCUAGCAGGAAGAAAUCUUUUACUGGUUGGCCCACUCCGACCUGAGCUAAGUACGCUCCUCCAAAUGGAGUCAGCGUAGUUUCCAGGUCCUCCGGUUGGACUUGGGCGUCCGGUUUAAUAUCAUGAGGGCGGUUGAAGGUGGAGAGAGCCCGCUCAAUUUUGGAGUUGAUGAGCUUGGCUCGGGCUCGGUCACUCGCCAGUCGGGAGCGUACGAGGUCGGAGUAGUUGUUGUUUGGCGGCUUUAUGAUGGAUGAAUAAGGAUGUAGGGAGAGGGACAAAACGGAGGAGGUCGAGGUGGGGUGAGCUUUUUCUGUUGAGAAGAGCUGAAGUCUUUUGAAAACUGAAGCAGAGACUGCUUGAGGUGAAAAUGGACUGAGGGUGAAGGAGAAGAAGAAGAAGAGGAUGAUGAGGAUGUUAAUGGAAGGAAAUGGCCUUUGAGCUUCUCGAGCCAUGUUUGUGGUUUUGGAGCAGAAGAGAAGACAGGAGAGAAGGGAUGAGAAGUUUGGAAGGAGCAAGGGUUUAUAUAUAUAGACGUCGAUCUGCAUGGAGGGCAUGUGGUUAAUUAAGACAUGGCUGCACUCACAUUUUAUUUAUUUAUUUAGUUUUUUGUUUAGGAUAAGUUCAAAUUCAAUUACGGUAGAAAACGUUGAUCAGACACAACCACACGCUUCUUUCCUGAAGAAAUGAAGAGAAAAUUAAACUAGAAGUUGCUUAAAGAUAGCACGUAUAGUAAUUCAGAUGCUGCGUAUAUAUGGAGAAGCAGUUUGAAAAAUGGCCCCUCACAAAUAUCACCGUAUUAACCAUCCUCUCAACUUUUUAAGAGCGAAGACUUAGAGGAGCGUCCACGACAGUUGGUCCUUCUGGUGGGCAUUGGUCACAAUAAUUAUCUAGAAAUGUUUUAUUCUUUGCAAUGUGGAAUAACUUUCCUCUACACAUGCAUAUUAAUGGCAUUGAAUAUGAUGGCAAAUUGGAAUUGCAGUAGCUAGGGAACAAGAAGGCUUUCAACAACUCAGUUUGAUCUUUCAUGAUGAGCAAAUAUAUAUUGGCUCGACUGCAGAGUUAUGCCUAAUUAGAAAUAAUUAGGGUUAAUAUAAAAAAUAAAAAAAACCCACAGAAAAUUGCUAUCUGCCAAUCACACUGAUUACUGUGACUUCCUUGUUUCCGAUAGUCAUGCCUUCGUUAUCUAUAGUUAAAUGGUGGGUGCUAUGGAUUAAUAGAUUCAAGUAACAAUUUUUCGUAAAGAAAUGUUUAAGGGUUUACGUAAAAAAAAAAAAUCAAGGGAGUGGAGUGUAAAAUUCAGGUAAUCGUUUUUCAUGCAGAAACUCUCUUUCGGUAUCGCAUGCAUUGCAGAUUAGGUCAUUAGGCGAUUAAUUAGCGGUCAACGGUACGCAACAUUCAAAACAGUUGCACAUUUUUAUUUAGUCCACUCGUCAACCAAUCAGACCAUUUCGUCAUUCGUUAAUGCUCUUUCUAGAUCAAAAAUGUCUAACAGGAUUGAAUUAAACCUAAAAUGAAAAGAAAUUGUACCUUUUGCUUUUUUUUUUUUUUUAAUUUGGGGAUAAUUUCAUUCAAUGAAAAUUGCACUAAUAGCAGUAAAUAACAUCAAAAUGUGCAAGGAAUGCAACAGACAGAAGGAAUUUUCUUCUGUUUCGAAGAAUUAAGAGAAUCCAAAUUGUUAUUCUCAAGUAGACUAAUGCAAGUUUCAUAAACUAAUUAGUUAGCAUUUUGAAUUAUUAGCUCUAUUUGCUAGUAAAACAAAAAACAAAAAAGCACCUAGACCAAAGCAAUAGAAGAGAAAGAACAAAAGGUCAACUAGAAAAUUAUUAUCAAAUUAGGGUCUGUUUGGUUGGAAGUAAAAUGUUUUCCUUGGGAAAAUAUUUUUCGUGGAAGUAAUUUUCCAUGAAAAUCAUUUUCCUUUCAUCAUUUUCAGGUGUUUGGUUAGCUUAUUGAAAAUAUUUUCUUACUUCAUUUUUUUGGUGUUUGUUUAACUUUUGAAAUAUUUUCACUUUUAUCUCUAUCUUUAUUUUCUACACAUUAUAACUACAUACUUUUUCCCAUACAAAAUAAGAAAAUUUAUCUCAUUGUUUAACUUUAAAAAAUCUUGGAGAAAUGUAUAUAUGAAUAAAAAAUAUCUCCUUAAGCAAUAAACAAAUUGCUGGUCAUUUAGUGUCAAAUAUCAAUCACAUGCAAUGCUUAUUGUGACAUAUAUCUUGCACUCUCACUGCUGAAAGUUUCUCUAGAAAAAAAUGUCCUUAUUAUACAUAAUCAAUUACUAGCAUAGGAUGAGCAGGAUGAGGUUUUUUUUUUUUUUUUUUUUUGAAUAUACUAUGGGGAGGGUUGGGUGGUACGGGGGAGGGAGUGUAAGGAAGAGGUCUUGGGUUCGAGUCCUCCUGUUUACAUUAAAAAAAAAAGAACAUACUACAAGAUGUUUUCAGUAAGUUUGGAACAUACUACAGGCGGAAUGCAUGCAUUUCGGAAAACAAUUUCAGUAAGUUUGGAAGGGAAGUUGUUUUCCAUAAGAUGAAUGAAAAUAUUUUACAUAGGAAAAUGUUUUCAGUAACUUUUGUGCAACCAAACACGGGAAAUUGGGAAAAUAUUUUCCUGGAAAAUAUUUUCACCCGAAACAAACGGACCCUUAAAGUUGUAAAUUUCCGUUGAUAUUAUCAAAUAUUAUCAAGUUUCAUAAACUAACGUUGUGCGCUUCCGUUAUUUCUAUUGGCAGAUUAUAAUCAAAGUGGCGAUGGCAAAGACAAUAUCAAUCAGGCUGUCGAUCUAACGAUUUGUUUUAUGUGUUGAAUCAUUCUGCAAGUAAAGCCAACCGAGUCAAUGGCGACUAGUCAUCAAUUAGGCAACCAAAGAAGUUAACCUUCUUUGAUAUCCAUUAAUUAGAGCCUACAAAGACCAGGUCUUUUUUCUUGCCAAUAUUAAAUUUUUAAGGCCAAACGUCCAGCAGCAAAACAAAGCAUUAAAGAUGGAAAAGAAAAAGAAAAAUUUCCCUUUUAUAGUUUUAUUAGGUCAAGCCAGGAGUAGGACUAGAAGAAGGAAAACGUUUCUUCCAUUACUUCUUCACAACUUAACUCCGAUAUGUGUAACUUGAUUGUCGGAGACAAAUCAAGGGACUUAACCCUGAUUCUCCUACUCCUGGUUGCAGGUCAUCAGAUCGGAAGACCUUACGAGUUCCAGCUCGAUCGUGCAACGAGCAAUUGAUAAAUCAUUACACCGAAAACGGAGAGGAUUUUUCUUGUAGAUAUACCUUAAUUGACAUGAUCGAAUAUGUGUGGUUCGUUUUGUUAGAAAAGCUAGCUCAAGGAUUAAUCCAGCAAAAACAAUGAAAGACUUCACAUAACUUGCUUUUAAAUUAAAAUGAAGACAGCAGGGCUGAAACCAAUCAGCCUUGUUAUGUUCCACACAAGUAAUAUUUUGCAUGCAUUUAUGUGGAUAAUGAAACGGGCAAUCGAAUGGUUGUACAAUUCCCUCCUUGCCAAGUAAUUGAUUUCCUGACAGUUCCCCCCAAACGAUGUGGACUAUAUAUCAACAAAGUACAUCAUAUAUACCAUAUUUACUAAUCGAAAGAGGGAUUAUUUUUCCUAUAUAAUGUAUAUCUGAUCACAUAUAGAUGCAUGACUCAUAUAGACUUAUUCUUGAUUGAUUACUUUAGCUAAUUAUGGAUUCUAAUGUUAGAUAAUCAGUUUCUUUGAUAUUUUUAUUUAUUUUAAUUAUACAAUUUUUUUAUUUUUAAUAUUAAAAAAACUGAAAUUCAUAAUCAAUCAAAAAAUUAAAUUUUACUAAUUCUCAUUAUUCUCUAUAGUCAUUUUUUUUAAUCUUAAUCUGAUUUUGUAAAAUCUGAAACCAAGCAGUAUUAGUAUGAAUUUACAAAUAUUUUGGUUCCAAUUUCUUCGGAUGUCCUCUCGAAGGAAGGGACAAUAUUUUGGUUCAAAUCAAAUAUACUCUCCUACUAGCAAUAUGAGAGAGUGGUCUUAACAUUGAUUCGGACUAAAACCAAUCACCUUAUUGGUAAGGUCGUAAGUGACCCGCAUCCCUUGCUGCUGUAUGUUCCCAAUUAUUGACACCCGUUUCGAUAGGGGUUGAACCGGAUGACGUCAUAAAUAAAAUUUAUUUAAAAAUUAAAAUAUUAUAUGUAAAAUACUUAAUAACAUGUUAAUAUUAAUAAAGGUAUAUUCAUAUAUAUUUGAUAUUUCAAAUAUAUUUAAUAAGAAAAUACAAAUAAAUUAGAGCAAUCAAGUAGCAAUUUAUAUUAUAUAAUAAGUAUUAACAAGUUUAGAAUUAAAAUUAUGGACUUAAUUGAAAAAUAACACCAAACUUUAAGACAUCAUUUAUAAAGUAUGAAAUAUUUGAGAUAUGUUAAUAAUUUUUAGCAACUUAAGGAUCAAAACAUCAUAUUAAAAAUAUUUUGACCUUUCAAAAAAAGUAAAAAGAAAAAAAAAAGAGACCGGGUUCAUUUUUCCGGUCAAACCCGGGUUUUGAUCUUAUUUGACCGAAUUUUUGAUUUUUCGAUUUUUAGGAUUAACUCGGACCAGCCAACUGGUCGGCUCCCGGUUCGACCGGCGAUCCGAUCCGAGUUUAAAAACAGAGGUAUCAACACAAAUCAAAUAAUUUGCAGGCCUCAGCGACAGCGUUUUGCCCCCAUGGAAUUCAAGCGACAUCGUUGGAUAGCCAUAUGUGGGCUCAGAUGAUAGAUCAUAGCAAGUGUCAAAUUUAACUGGACCAUAGUCGAACCCGCUCACGGGAGGCAAGGCUCGAGCGUACUUAACAAACGUAUCGCCGACCGAGUUAUAAACCUGAGUUGGAGUUAUCCUGGUGCCCGAGUCAACUACGAUUCCCCGCGUCCAUCUUCGCCUAUUUAGUAAUCUGAUGCUGGGAUGGAUACUUUUUCCCCAUUAAUAGUGACCCCCGUGAGUUCCACGUAAUAAUAUAGACAACGAGAAUCCGUACGCAUACCCAAAAAAAAAAAAUACAGUACUAGUCUACUCUACUAGCUGCUUAAAUGGAUGGAUUAUGGUUUUCCAUUAUCCAUUUAAAGCCUAUCCAUUUAUAUCCAUUUUUAAAUGAUUGUAAUUGGAUUGGAUUAAUUUUAUCCAUUAUCCAUUAAACAAAAAUCAUUUAUCAACCAUUUAUUUAUUUUGCUACUUCUAUUCUGAACAUUAUCAAUCCCAUCACAGUACAGGAACUCAAAAUACUUCAAGUGAGAUAAACUUGAAACUGAGAGAAGUGUGUCC